GCAGCAACUUAGAGUAUGUUUGAAAUCACUUCUAUCCAUAGCAACGCUCGUACAUGGAUGUACGAGCGAGUCCAUACUGAGCCACGAUGGCAAAUAUGGACGGUGGCGUACUACUUCCCAACUUAUAUGUGAUUUCUUACAUACUCUUAGUUGCUGA
rnacentral:ncRNA from 1 species